UACAGAGGGGGCAAGCGUUGUUCGGAAUUACUGGGCGUAAAGGGCGCGUAGGCGCCUUCUAAGUCGAACGUGAAAUCCCCGGGCUCAACCCGGGAACUGCGUCCGAUACUGGAAGGCUUGAAUCCGGGAGAGGGAUGUGGAAUUCCAGGUGUAGCGGUGAAAUGCGUAGAUAUCUGGAGGAACACCUGAGGUGAAGACGGGUUGCUGGGCCAACACUGACGCUGAUGCGCGAAAGCCAGGGGAGCAAACGGG
rnacentral:rRNA from 1 species